rnacentral:ncRNA from 1 species
UUAAAAACUUUGAACAGGAAAAGUACAUAAACCGUGUUACUUACAGAGAGUGGAGAUAGGUGGAAGUCCACAGGAAAGGUUUAAGGAAAAUCACCUGGGAGUUGAGAGACUGAAUAUAUUAUUUAUUUAGUAAGUUUCUACGUGGUUCUGCGUUAAAGAAUGGAGUAUGCUUGUGCUUAAAGUAAUUUUACCCGUAGGUGGUAUAGCGAAUUUAACUUCGUCCUAUUA